rnacentral:misc_RNA from 1 species
AACGGUCUAUACCUGCGGUACCUGCGGAGGGAUCAUUAGUGAACGCCCUCACGGGCUUAUAACUAUUCCAAACCUCUGUGAACCGUGCCCUUCGGGGCUAUUUUACAAACAUGGUGUAAUGAACGUCAUAUAUCAUAACAAAACAAAACUUUUAACAAUGGAUCUCU